AUACCCCCCGUUCCACCCAACCCCUACUAGCACCCAGCCUAUAUACCGCCGUCGACAGUCUACCCCAUGAGGGAAUAGUAGACACAACAGUUAAAAACUAAUACGUCAGGUCAAGGUGUAGCAAAUGUAGAGGAAGAGAUUGGCUACAUUUUUUAUUUUAAAAAACACGAAAUGCAUUAUGAAACCCUGCACGAAGGCGAAUUUAGCAGUAAAAUAAACAAGAGUGCUUAUUUUAACACCGCUCUGGGACGCGU
rnacentral:rRNA from 1 species